rnacentral:rRNA from 1 species
UACGUAGGGGGCAAGCGUUGUCCGGAUUUAUUGGGCGUAAAGAGCGUGUAGGCGGCCAGACAGGUCCGUUGUGAAAACUCGAGGCUCAACCUCGAGAUGUCGAUGGAAACCGUCUGGCUAGAGUCCGGAAGAGGAGUGUGGAAUUCCUGGUGUAGCGGUGAAAUGCGUAGAUAUCUGGAGGAACACCGGUGGCGAAGGCGGCAUCCUGGACCAUUACUGACGCUGAUGAGCGAAAGCCAGGGGAGCAAACGGG